AACUGUCACAAGCAUUUUGCCCAUGAAAGGCUGCAAUGUGAUCACAUGAGGGGACACGGUAAGUGAGAGCUUUUUAAAAUACAUCAUGGUUUUCUCAAGGUUACCUUAUACAGAAGAGCUUUUGAUAAACCACGAUUACUAAGGUAUCGUUACAUCAAGUAAGAAAAUUAAUAGACAGAACUAGGGCAACUGAGUUACAAACAAUGGAAAGUAAGAAUUUCACUGCCAGUCCCUUGAAGCAUAGGAGCUCCCUUUUCCAUUUUUUCUGAUCAAGAAACUUAAGGGUUUUUCAAUGUGAGCUUUUCUAUUUUGCAGUAGUUCCCUGAGCAGAUGCUUAUUCUUCAUUUGCAUCUUUGUUUACUUGCUUUCCCGACUGGCAGAAUGGUUAAAGCCAAAGCAGUGUCUUAGCUUGGGCUGCAACUCUGCUCGCUUUGCAGCACAUAGUCAGCUUCACUCAAAUGGAACAGUCCUCCACUGACCUAACCAGAAUCUCCCCAAGGUCCCCAAAUUAUUCCCACAGGUUAUACUACAACAGCUAUGACUUGCUGGGAAAGAAUCCUACAGCAUCUAAACACAAGGAAACGUGAUAUUGCUCUUGGACAUACAGGAAAUGCAGAAGCCAAAAGGUGCCUCGUUCCCUGGUAACUCAGACUGUGUUCUACUUGAAAACAGCCCGGGAAAAUCACAGGGUUGCUAGACCUAGGAAGAAGGAUGAGGUGUUGCUCUGUCAUGUCCCGGUUCACUGUAACACGUAAAGUCUUGGUUGCUGACUUUUCUAUGAUGGCUUCUUUUCUGCUUUCACAAUAUGAUGCCAAAGAGCAGAAAAAUUAUAACCAACCAAACAAAAAAGUAGCACUAUGGUGUGACAGACCAGAUUGCACAUGUAAGCUUUUAAGAAUGCCUAUGAUCUGCAUAAACAUGUUGAAACGCACAGUGAUUCAGAUGCCUACAGCUGUGAUGUUGAAGGAUGUGGUUUUACUUCAUGGACUUUACAAACUUGGAGACGGCACUACAAGAGAGCACAUGUGGUUUUGUAUAAGAGAUUCAGAUAUUGAACUAAAGGCUGUCUGAAGCUUGGUCCAACUUUAGACAGACUGUGAAACACUGUGAAACAAUUCACUUCUUAGAUUUUGCUGUCAUUAUGGAAAACCUAAUGUAAAGGUGGCUUAAAUCUUCUUGUUUUUAUAGCUUUUACUUUUGGGAAAAUCUUGCAAUUCUAGAUUCUUUUAAGAACAUUUACUGACCUUUUAAUUAUAUCUACUGAGGAAAGAAACUGCAUAAAUGUAUCAAAAGCUUCUGUAGUACAAACAAGCUAUACUCUCCAUUUUGGCACAAGAAAAUUCAGUAAAUAAAAUGUAAUUACAAAUAGGUGUCUCA
rnacentral:lncRNA from 1 species